rnacentral:rRNA from 1 species
UACGUAGGUGGCAAGCGUUAUCCGGAAUUACUGGGCGUAAAGGGUGCGUAGGUGGUUUCUUAAGUCAGAGGUGAAAGGCUACGGCUCAACCGUAGUAAGCCUUUGAAACUGGGAAACUUGAGUGCAGGAGAGGAGAGUGGGAAUUCCUAGUGUAGCGGUGAAAUGCGUAGAUAUUAGGAGGAACACCAGUUGCGAAGGCGGCUCUCUGGACUGUAACUGACACUGAGGCACGAAAGCGUGGGGAGCAAACAGGAUUAGAUACCCGGGUAGUCCCUGAGCGGG